UACAGAGGGUGCAAGCGUUAAUCGGAAUUACUGGGCGUAAAGCGUGCGUAGACGGUUAUGUAAGUCGGGUGUGAAAGCCCCGGGCUCAACCUGGGAAUUGCAUUCGAGACUGCAUAGCUAGGGUGCGGAAGAGGGAAGCGGAAUUUCCGGUGUAGCGGUGAAAUGCGUAGAUAUCGGAAGGAACACCAGUGGCGAAAGCGGCUCCUGGUCCAGCACCGACGUCAGGCACGAAAGCGUGGGGAGCAAACAGG
rnacentral:rRNA from 1 species